UGCCGGCUUUAAUUAAAUCUUUUUUAAUCUGACUUGGUGAAGUCAGUGGGAGGAUUGAAAUUGGCUGGAUAAUUCUUCUCUUCUAUCCUUUAAUAAAAAUUCUCAAAAAUUAUUAGGUCCCUAAAAUGAUUAAGUUAUAGUGAUAACUAAGUCAUAGCCUCCCAUUAAGUGAGUGAUAAUGAGUCUAUUAGUUUAAUAAUCAUUGGAGGCCUAAAGGCCUGGUGCUUAUUGACU
rnacentral:lncRNA from 1 species